UACCAGCACCCCGAGUGGUCGGGACGUUUAUUGGGCCUAAAGCAUCCGUAGCCGGUUCUACAAGUCUUCCGUUAAAUCCAGCUGCUUAACAGAUGGGCUGCGGAAGAUACUAUGGAGCUAGGAAGCGGGAGAGGCAAGCGGUACUCGAUGGGUAGGGGUAAAAUCCGUUGAUCCAUUGAAGACCACCAGUGGCGAAGGCGGCUUGCCAGAACGCGCUCGACGGUGAGGGAUGAAAGCUGGGGGAGCAAACCGG
rnacentral:rRNA from 1 species